AGCAGCCGCGGUAAUACGUAGGGUGCGAGCGUUGUCCGGAAUUACUGGGCGUAAAGAGCUCGUAGGUGGUUUGUCGCGUUGUUCGUGGAAACUCACAAGCUUUAACUUGUGGGCGUGCCGGGCGAUACGGGCAGACUAGAGUACUGCAGGGGAGACUGGAAUUCCUGGUGUAGCGGUGGAAUGCGCAGAUAUCAGGAGGAACACCGGUGGCGAAGGCGGGUCUCUGGGCAGUAACUGACGCUGAGGAGCGAAAGCGUGGGGAGCGAACAGGAUUAGAUACCCUGGUAGUCCACGCCGUAAACGGUGGGUACUAGGUGUGGGUUCCUUCCUUGGGAUCCGUGCCGUAGCUAACGCAUUAAGUACCCCGCCUGGGGAGUACGGCCGCAAGGCUAAAACUCAAAGGAAUUGACGGGGGCCCGCACAAGCGGCGGAGCAUGUGGAUUAAUUCGAUGCAACGCGAAGAACCUUACCUGGGUUUGACAUGCACAGGACGCCGGCAGAGAUGUCGGUUCCCUUGUGGCCUGUGU
rnacentral:rRNA from 1 species